GGUUUUCCUUUCUUUCAUUCUACACUUUAGCUUUCUUAAAAAUUAAAUAUUCUCUUCUUCUUCGUUAAACUGGAAGCUAAGGUUUUUGACGUCAUUGGUGGAUGUUUCAACCUCUUGUUGUUGCUGUUGGUUUGUGAAGAACAUUUGGGUUUGGAACUUUGAGCUGUAGUAAAGGGCAGGUACAUUGCUAACUGGACAGACAGAUCAUGGUGACAAGGAGAAUACUCAUGGUAUAGCCUCCAGUGAGAUGUAAACCGGACUGGUAGAACACAACAUAAGGAUGUGUAAGACCAUGUGGUUGAGACCCAUGGCAUUGUAUGUCA